rnacentral:rRNA from 1 species
AAACCAACAGGGAUUGCCUCAGUAACGGCGAGUGAAGCGGCAACAGCUCAAAUUUGAAAUCUGGCCUCUGGCCCGAGUUGUAAUUUGUAGAGGAUGUUUCGGGCGUGGUCCGGUCUAAGUUCCUUGGAACAGGACGUCAUAGAGGGUGAGAAUCCCGUAUGUGACCGGGUGCCUAAGCUCAUGUGAAACUCCUUCAACGAGUCGAGUUGUUUGGGAAUGCAGCUCAAAAUGGGUGGUAAAUUUCAUCUAAAGCUAAAUACUGGCCAGAGACCGAUAGCGCACAAGUAGAGUGAUCGAAAGAUGAAAAGCACUUUGGAAAGAGAGUUAAACAGCACGUGAAAUUGUUGAAAGGGAAGCNUUAACAAUCAGACUUGCGCGCGGUUGAUCAUCCGGUGUUCUCACCGGUGCACUCGAUCGCGCUCAGGCCAGCAUCAGUUCUGGUGGUUGGAUAAAGGCCGUGGGAAUGUGGCUCUUCGGAGUGUUAUAGCCCACGGUGCCAUACAGCCUACCGGGACUGAGGACCGCGCUUCGGCUAGGAUGCUGGCGUAAUGGUUUCACGAC